rnacentral:tRNA from 1 species
CCUUCGAUAGCUCAGCUGGUAGAGCGGAGGACUGUAGACCCUUAGGUCGCUGGUUCGAUUCCGGCUCGAAGGA